rnacentral:rRNA from 1 species
CCGGGACGGGUGGAGGUACGCGGACGGGUAACCCGUUACCCUACGUACACGAACGAAUAACAAACCGAAAGGUAUGCUAAUACAGAUAAUAUAUUUGAGAGGCAUCUCUUGAAUAUCAAAGGUGAGCCAGUACAGGAUGGACCCGCGUCUGAUUAGCUAGUUGGUAAGGUAACGGCUUACCAAGGCGACGAUCAGUAGCCGACCUGAGAGGGUGAUCGGCCACAUUGGAACUGAGACACGGUCCAA